GUGGGGAAUAUUGCACAAUGGGCGCAAGCCUGAUGCAGCGACGCCGCGUGAGGGAUGACGGCCUUCGGGUUGUAAACCUCUUUCAGUAGGGAAGAAGCGAAAGUGACGGUACCUGCAGAAGAAGCGCCGGCUAACUACGUGCCAGCAGCCGCGGUAAUACGUAGGGCGCGAGCGUUAUCCGGAAUUAUUGGGCGUAAAGAGCUCGUAGGCGGUUUGUCGCGUCUGCCGUGAAAGUCCGGGGCUUAACCCCGGAUCUGCGGUGGGUACGGGCAGACUAGAGUGCAGUAGGGGAGACUGGAAUUCCUGGUGUAGCGGUGAAAUGCGCAGAUAUCAGGAGGAACACCGAUGGCGAAGGCAGGUCUCUGGGCUGUUACUGACGCUGAGGAGCGAAAGCAUGGGGAGCGAACAGGAUUAGAAACCCUAGUAGUCC
rnacentral:rRNA from 1 species